GACGAACGCUGGCGGCGUGCUUAACACAUGCAAGUCGAACGGAAAGGCCCUGCUUUUGUGGGGUGCUCGAGUGGCGAACGGGUGAGUAACACGUGAGUAACCUGCCCUUGACUUUGGGAUAACUUCAGGAAACUGGGGCUAAUACCGGAUAGGAGCUCCUGCUGCAUGGUGGGGGUUGGAAAGUUUCGGCGGUUGGGGAUGGACUCGCGGCUUAUCAGCUUGUUGGUGGGGUAGUGGCUUACCAAGGCUUUGACGGGUAGCCGGCCUGAGAGGGUGACCGGCCACAUUGGGACUGAGAUACGGCCCAGACUCCUACGGGAGGCAGCAGUGGGGAAUAUUGCACAAUGGGCGGAAGCCUGAUGCAACAACGCCGCGUGCGGGAUGACGGCCUUCGGGUUGUAAACCGCUUUCGCCUGUGACGAAGCGUGAGUGACGGUAAUGGGUAAAGAAGCACCGGCUAACUACGUGCCAGCAGCCGCGGUGAUACGUAGGGUGCGAGCGUUGUCCGGAUUUAUUGGGCGUAAAGGGCUCGUAGGUGGUUGAUCGCGUCGGAAGUGUAAUCUUGGGGCUUAACCCUGAGCGUGCUUUCGAUACGGGUUGACUUGAGGAAGGUAGGGGAGAAUGGAAUUCCUGGUGGAGCGGUGGAAUGCGCAGAUAUCAGGAGGAACACCAGUGGCGAAGGCGGUUCUCUGGGCCUUUCCUGACGCUGAGGAGCGAAAGCGUGGGGAGCGAACAGGCUUAGAUACCCUGGUAGUCCACGCUGUAAACGGUGGGUACUAGGUGUGGGGUCCAUUCCACGGGUUCCGUGCCGUAGCUAACGCUUUAAGUACCCCGCCUGGGGAGUACGGCCGCAAGGCUAAAACUCAAAGGAAUUGACGGGGCCCCGCACAAGCGGCGGAGCAUGCGGAUUAAUUCGAUGCAACGCGUAGAACCUUACCUGGGUUUGACAUGGAUCGGGAGUGCUCAGAGAUGGGUGUGCCUCUUUUGGGGUCGGUUCACAGGUGGUGCAUGCCUGUCGUCAGCUCGUGUCGUGAGAUGUUGGGUUAAGUCCCGCAACGAGCGCAACCCUUGUUCACUGUUGCCAGCACGUUAUGGUGGGGACUCAGUGGAGACCGCCGGGGUCAACUCGGAGGAAGGUGGGGAUGACGUCAAGUCCUCAUGCCCCUUAUGUCCAGGGCUUCACGCAUGCUACAAUGGCUGGUACAGAGAGUGGCGAGCCUGUGAGGGUGAGCGAAUCUCGGAAAGCCGGUCUCAGUUCGGAUUGGGGUCUGCAACUCGACCUCAUGAAGUCGGAGUCGCUAGUAAUCGCAGAUCAGCAACGCUGCGGUGAAUACGUUCCCGGGGCU
rnacentral:rRNA from 1 species